rnacentral:tRNA from 1 species
GGUAGCUUAGUUUAAUGGUAAAACACUCACACGAUAAGUGGGAAUUAUAAGUUCGAGUCUUAUAGCUAUCUCA